rnacentral:rRNA from 1 species
UACGGAGGGUGCGAGCGUUAAUCGGAAUUACUGGGUGUAAAGGGUGCGUAGGUGGUUGAUUAGGUUAUGUGUAAAAUCCCUGGGCUUAACCUGGGCAGGUCAUAUAAUACUGAUUGACUCGAGUAUGGGAGAGGGUAGUGGAAUUUCCGGUGUAGCGGUGAAAUGCGUAGAGAUCGGAAGGAACACCAGUGGCGAAGGCGGCUACCUGGCCUAAUACUGACACUGAGGCACGAAAGCGUGGGGAGCAAACAGG